CUGCUGCCUUCCGUAGGAGUCUGGUCCGUGUCUCAGUACCAGUGUGGGGGACCUUCCUCUCAGAACCCCUACGCAUCGUCGCCUUGGUGGGCCGUUACCCCGCCAACUAGCUAAUGCGACGCAUGACCAUCCGUAGCCGGAAUCGCUUCCUUUAAACCCGAGGAGAUGCCUCCUCGGUUGUUACGCGGUAUUAGACGGAAUUUCUUCCGCUUAUCCCCCUGCUACGGGCAGGUUUCAUACGUGUUACUCACCCGUGCGCCGGUCGCCGGCGGGAG
rnacentral:rRNA from 1 species